GACGAACGCUGGCGGCGUGCUUAACACAUACAAGUCGAACGGAAAGGCCCUGCUUUUGUGGGGUGCUCGAGUGGCGAACGGGUGAGUAACACGUGAGUAACCUGCCCUUGACUUUGGGAUAACUUCAGGAAACUGGGGCUAAUACCGGAUAGGAGCUCCUGCUGCAUGGUGGGGGUUGGAAAGUUUCGGCGGUUGGGGACGGACUCGCGGCUUAUCAGCUUGUUGGUGGGGUAGUGGCUUACCAAGGCUUUGACGGGUAGCCGGCCUGAGAGGGUGACCGGCCACAUUGGGACUGAGAUACGGCCCAGACUCCUACGGGAGGCAGCAGUGGGGAAUAUUGCACAAUGGGCGGAAGCCUGAUGCAGCAACGCCGCGUGCGGGAUGACGGCCUUCGGGUUGUAAACCGCUUUCGCCUGUGACGAAGCGUGAGUGACGGUAAUGGGUAAAGAAGCACCGGCUAACUACGUG
rnacentral:rRNA from 1 species